rnacentral:rRNA from 1 species
AACGUAGGAGACAAACGUUAUCCGGAGUUACUGGGCGUAAAGGGCGCGUAGGCGGUGUGUCAAGUCAGGCGUGAAAGCCCCGGGCUCAACCUGGGAACCGCGCUUGAGACUGGCACGCUCGAGUUCGGGAGAGGAUGGUGGAAUUCCCAGUGUAGAGGUGAAAUUCGUAGAUAUUGGGAAGAACACCGAUGGCGAAGGCAGCCAUCUGGACCGACACUGACGCUGAGGCGCGAAAGCGUGGGGAGCAAACAGG